rnacentral:rRNA from 1 species
CAGGACGAACGCUGGCGGCGUGCCUAAUACAUGCAAGUCGAGCGAUGAUUAAAGAUAGCUUGCUAUUUUUAUGAAGAGCGGCGAACGGGUGAGUAACGCGUGGGAAAUCUGCCGAGUAGCGGGGGACAACGUUUGGAAACGAACGCUAAUACCGCAUAACAAUGAGAAUCGCAUGAUUCUUAUUUAAAAGAAGCAAUUGCUUCACUACUUGAUGAUCCCGCGUUGUAUUAGCUAGUUGGUAGUGUAAAGGACUACCAAGGCGAUGAUACAUAGCCGACCUGAGAGGGUGAUCGGCCACACUGGGACUGAGACACGGCCCAGACUCCUACGGGAGGCAGCAGUAGGGAAUCUUCGGCAAUGGGGGCAACCCUGACCGAGCAACGCCGCGUGAGUGAAGAAGGUUUUCGGAUCGUAAAACUCUGUUGUUAGAGAAGAACGUUAAGUAGAGUGGAAAAUUACUUAAGUGACGGUAUCUAACCAGAAAGGGACGGCUAACUACGUGCCAGCAGCCGCGGUAAUACGUAGGUCCCAAGCGUUGUCCGGAUUUAUUGGGCGUAAAGCGAGCGCAGGUGGUUUCUUAAGUCUGAUGUAAAAGGCAGUGGCUCAACCAUUGUGUGCAUUGGAAACUGGGAGACUUGAGUGCAGGAGAGGAGAGUGGAAUUCCAUGUGUAGCGGUGAAAUGCGUAGAUAUAUGGAGGAACACCGGAGGCGAAAGCGGCUCUCUGGCC